CAAGUCGGAUUUCCAUUAAAUAUAUUGGUUUCAAAAUUGAACACCAUUGGCAAAAUGCUUACAAAAUUAGGCUAUACUUGGCUCCUCGGUGCCGUAAAUGGUGGCUUCAACUUUGUUUUUUUAAGAAAAAUGUGUUUUAUAUA